UACGGAGGUGGCAAGCGUUGCUCGGAAUCACUGGGCGUAAAGGGCGCGUAGGCGGGGAGGUAAGUCGGGUGUGAAAUCCCUCGGCCCAACCGAGGAACUGCGCCCGAGACUGCUUCUCUUGAGUCCCGGAGAGGAAGAUGGAAUUCCCGGUGUAGCGGUGAAAUGCGUAGAUAUCUGGAGGAACACCGGUGGCGAAGGCGGCAUCCUGGACCGGUAUUGACGCUGAGGAGCGAAAGCCAGGGGAGCAAACGGG
rnacentral:rRNA from 1 species